UACAGAGGGGGCAAGCGUUGUUCGGAAUUACUGGGCGUAAAGGGCGCGUAGGCGGCCUGUUAAGUCGAACGUGAAAUCCCCGGGCUCAACCCGGGAACUGCGUCCGAUACUGGUAGGCUUGAAUCCGGGAGAGGGAUGCGGAAUUCCAGGUGUAGCGGUGAAAUGCGUAGAUAUCUGGAGGAACACCGGUGGCGAAGGCGGCGUUCUGGACUGCAACUGACACUGAAAAACGAAAGCCAGGGGAGCAAACGGG
rnacentral:rRNA from 1 species